CUGAAUCCUGGCUAUGUUUGUAUACUUUUUAUUUAAAAUUGUAUACAGUGUAUUAUUUUUCAUUCUUCCACUGGGUAAGUAUAUUAGUACUUGGGCAAUACUGUGCUUCAACACUUUGCCAGUUCGGAACCUCAGCACUUCGAAAAUUUGGUAAUUUCGGGACUUCGGCUAUUCGGACAUUCGGAAGUAACCGAAUGUACGAAUUGCCCGAACUUCGUCCGAAUUCAUAUUCAGACCGAAACGAAUUGCAUAUGUCUAGUAAAGAUCUGUGGAACAGAUCCAUAAAUCUUAAAUCUAGUUUAUGCAGCUAAAUCCCACACAAUAUUUUCACAAAACCAUUUCUUGAUUUAAAAAUAUACAGUGUUACUUUGCAAUUAAGCCAAUGAGAGAUAAUUAUGGCCUAGCUACUGGCUUGACUGCCUUACAGCCACUGCUCUCUUUUCUACAUAGUUUUUCAAAGCCAUAAACUAAUGGGCAGAAAUAUAUUGUUUGGCAAGUCAUGUUAACAUAUUAGCUCACACUGACCUCUCAGCUGUAUUUAUACAUUGAAGUUAAGGCCAAGACAUUUUAUUAAAAGGGGAGGCAUGGCUAAUAAGAUGGCUUGUAAAAUCGUCUUUUUUUUUAUAUAUCUUAUUCUAAUCUCUGUUGUAAUUUACC